UCAAGUUAUGUGCAGCUGCUGUAAACAUGGACAGAUAUCAAUCAUGCAGGCUCUAAGUUGGCGAGCAAUUAGUACACUGUCUCCCAUGAAGGACCUACAUCACAUUA